UCCUGGCUGGCUCAGUGGGCAGAGCGUGUGACUCUUGAUCUCAGGAUUGUGAGUUCAAGUCCCGUAUUGGGUG
rnacentral:tRNA from 1 species